rnacentral:sRNA from 1 species
UAGUCUUCUUUUCGUUUCUGUGUCGCAAACCUAUUGUUUCUCUCAUUCAUACCUCUCCUUGCCUCGCUCUCUGAUCUCGAGUUCUCUGUGUGUUUCCGUUUUUUUCCAGAAAAUGAUUAACUCAGUGAAGUUUGUUUAGAUCGUUUUGUGGGGAGCUGCAGCUAAAACUGCUAUCUCGCUGAAAAAUAGUCGAUUUCGUCUAGAUUUGCAGAAAAUUUGGAGCCCAUAAGGGAUCGCGCUUCCUGCUGCCGUUUUGGUCGGUUGAAUCUGCGGGUACCGGAUAAGGCACCUGCGAAAGGUGGUUCGAGCUUCAAUCAGCUUCUGGGGUUUAAAGGACCUUCAAAGAAAACUGAGAUUCAGUUUUUCCGGUUUCUCACGUUUGUUUGCAGUGUGUGAAGGCCUCUGUAUUUAAGUUCAAAUAGCUAAAGUUGAGAAAAAACGAUUGGAGUUUAAAGUCUUGCAUAUUUGAAAGUUGAAUGUGAGCCUUUGAAGGGCUUUGUAAAUGUGUUCUCAGUUGUACGGCAUUUCAUGCAGCAGACCUUGAUAGCAAUUUUGGCGGUUAAAGAAGGGUGCGGGGAAACUUUAGAAAAUAUUAAGGAAGGUUAUGAUGAAUUCUCAUUUAGAGUUGGUGACAACGAAUUGACUCACCACCAACUUUAGAUCAAGAUUCAAGCAUGCCUUAAAUCCAAAGCUUGCAUUAAGACAAACCUCACCAACCGCUGUGUUGAUUAAGACAAAAGAAAAUUAUAAACAGUAGCUUAGAAGUUAUUUGUGGGUUCGGACGAAGGCAGCGAAUUGAGGAAGCCGAAGAAUUGUAGCUUCAAACAGAUUUUCGUGGAGCAUGGGUCCAGACGGUAACAAUACUGUUUGUCAUAGUAGACAACCCGUUUGAAAAUUUUCAUUGAUUACAGGUUCAAUUCAAGCCUACUUUAACGUCGCUCUCUCUCUCAUUACUUUUUAGAAUAGCUCACAUCUAACACAAUUCGAUACUUGCAUAUGCACAACACGUAGACGAUUAAUGUGAUUAAAACACAUAAAACAUUAUUCACCUAAUAUCAUAUCAUUAAAAGAGAAUAGAAAAGAAAUAAAAAGAGAAUAUAGACUAACAUAAUUUCAUAUCACAUUCAUUUUGAGUUUGUUCAACAAGUGUUCUCCUCUUCCAUUCCAUGGAUUGGAAAUGUCUCACAAAGACACAAAGAUGACGACAUAAACCUCUAGACUCUAUUAGCUACGCUCCUAUGAUGAUGAUGAUUAGGAUUGAGGACUCAACCUAACCAACAAUUAUUUAAUGAAAAUCAAAAUGAGAAGACACUAUUGACUCAACUCGGACAUGACUCGCUGGAAAGAAACACAAACUCACUGCAAAUUAUUGUAGUUACAUAUAACGCCAGCCACUCACGCCUUCAUUCUUUACUUUUUAAUCUUGAUUUCAGCCAUUGGCACCACUUCCAAACCAUUUUUUGUUGACAAUGUAUCAAUUGUGGAAACUUUCCCCCAUUGAUCCAUUUGCUUACCACCACAAAUCUCUCAUACCAAGGCCAAUCCUUCCAUUUGCCUUCCUGGAUUUUCUUUUCCUUGAGCUCCUUGGGGGACAUGAACAACUCCUUGUCUUCAGCUGGACAUGAACAACCCUUGUGUUGAUCGGUACUUCCACUACGCCAAGGGACAAGACGCCAUGUCGAUCGUGGAAUUUCGCAAAACUCGAAGCAAGUGCUUCCCUCAGCCUGGUCGCACAAUCCUCUAACCACCCUCAAACUUAUCUGCAACUUAAUAGACAGACGCAACGGCGGUGUUGUUCAUGUCUAAAGGACCACCGUCGCUUCAAAAAGAUUACCGGCCAGCUGAAGACCAUGAGUUUUUCAUGUCCCUAGGGAGCUCUGGUAGGAGAAAAUCCGGAAGGUAAAUGGAAGGAUUGACCUUGGUAUGGGAGAUUUGUGGUGGUGAGCAAAUGGAUCAAUGGGGGAAACUUUCCAAAAUUGAUACCUUGGCAACAAAAAAUGGUUUGGAAGUGGUGAAAGUGGCUGAAAUCCAGAUUAAAAAGUAAAGAAUGAAGGCGUGCGUGGCCGGCGUUAUAUGGAACUACAAUAAUUUGCAAUGAGUCUGUUUGAGUCCGAGUUGUGUCAGUAGUGUCUUCUCAUUUCAGUUUUCAUUAAAUAAUUGUUGGUUAGGUUGAGUCCUCAAUCGUAAUCAUCAUCAUAGUAGCGUAGCUAAUAGUCUAAAGGUUUAUGUCGUUGUCUGUGUGAGACCUUCCAAUUCCAUGGAAGAGGAGCACACUUGUUUAACGAAUUCAAUAUGAAUGCGAUAUGAAAUUAUAUUAGUAUAUAAUAUUCUCUUUUCUAUGUUCUUUUAAUGAUAUGAUAUUAGAUGAAUAAUGUUUUUUGAUCGUAAUCAUCAACGCAUUGAGCAUGUGCAAGUUUCGAGUUGUGUUAGAUGUGAGCUAUUCUAAAAAGUAAUGUUAGAGAAGCCAUUAAUUUAAAUCAUAUUUUAUAACUACUUAUUUAUUGGUCUGAAAGUGAGCCCUUCAUUUAAUUUAAUGUAAUAUUUUUCUUUCACAAAUUUGAAACAUAUAUAUAUCACUAGUUAAGUUUUUUCUACCAUCUUCAUACUCCACCUUGUAAAUAAGGAACGGAUUAAGAAUAGAGGGAAAUGUUACAUUCAUAAUGCAUGUGACUAAAAAAUUGUUACAUCUUUUGUUUUUCGGAAAAAAAAUGUUACAUAUCAUAACACUAAUAGAUGUCGAUGUAAUUAAGGCUCAUUUCUAGUGAUUUUUCAAGGG